UUCCGUGGUGAACCUGCGGAAGGAUCAUUA
rnacentral:rRNA from 1 species